rnacentral:misc_RNA from 1 species
AGAAAAGGCACAUCAUUUCAGGAACAAAAGCAACAGACAAUAAAAAAGAAAAAAGGAAAAUGAAAUUGUGAAGUCGAAACAAGGGGUUUCAUUGAUUGAUAAUAGAGAAAAAUAAGAUCUAACAGUAGUUUCAACUAAUUCCAUCAAGGAUAAUCAUCACCUUCUAACAACAGAAUUACAUACACAGAAGAUCCCAAAAAAAAAAAACCAUUAAGAAUCUAAGCCUUCUUGGGAGAUUUGGUAGCUUUGGAUGGAGAUUUAGGGGCCUUUUCACCUCCAGUCUUCUUUGGCAACAAAAUUGGGUUGAUGUUUGGAAGAACACCACCAUGUGCGAUUGUUACACCAGCAAGAAGUUUCCCAAGCUCUUCAUCAUUCCUCACAGCCAAAAGCAAGUGCCUUGGGAUGAUUCUGUUCUUCUUGUUGUCACGGGCAGCAUUUCCAGCCAACUCCAACACUUCAGCAGCCAAAUAUUCAAGUACGGCCGCCAAGUAAACUGGAGCACCAGAACCAACACGUUGAGCGUAUCGGCCUUUUUUCAAAAACCUUCCGAUUCUUCCAACGGGGAACUGAAGACCGGCCUUAACAGACCGGGAAACAGGCUUCUUCUUUGGGCCUCCUCCCCUUCUUCCGGCGGCACCCUUCUUUACUUUUCCGGUAGACUCCAUUUCAAGGAAUAGCUUCUUUAUUUUCAG